rnacentral:pre_miRNA from 1 species
UUUUGUUUUUCCGUGUCUAACGUUUGACCAUUCGUCUUAUUUAAAUUUUUUUACGAUUAAUUUUUUUAUUAUUAUUAGAUGAUAAAAUAUGAAUAGUACUUUAUAUGUGACUAUUUUUUUAAGAUUUUGUACAAAAUUUUCAAAUAAGACGAAUGAUCAAACGUUGGACACGAAAAA